UACGUAGGUGGCAAGCGUUGUCCGGAUUUAUUGGGCGUAAAGCGCGCGCAGGUGGUUUCUUAAGUCUGAUGUGAAAGCCCACGGCUCAACCGUGGAGGGUCAUUGGAAACUGGGAGACUUGAGUGCAGAAGAGGAAAGUGGAAUUCCAAGUGUAGCGGUGAAAUGCGUAGAGAUUUGGAGGAACACCAGUGGCGAAGGCGACUUUCUGGUCUGUAACUGACGCUGAGGCGCGAAAGCAUGGGGAGCAAACAGG
rnacentral:rRNA from 1 species